GCUGGGCGUGGUGGCUCAUGCCUGUGAUCCCAGCUAUUUGGGAGGCUGAGGCAGGAGAAUCGCUUGAACCCGGGAGGUGGAGGUUGCAGUGAGCUGAGAUCGUGCCACUGCACUCCAGCCUGGGUGACAGAGCGAGACUCCGCCUCAA
ensembl:misc_RNA Metazoa_SRP Metazoan signal recognition particle RNA